rnacentral:rRNA from 1 species
AUUGAACGCUGGCGGCAGGCCUAACACAUGCAAGUCGAGCGAACGGCGGACGGGUGAGUAAUGUCUGGGAAACUGCCUGAUGGAGGGGGAUAACUACUGGAAACGGUAGCUAAUACCGCAUACCAUCAGAUGUGCCCAGAUGGGAUUAGCUAGUAGGUGGGGUAACGGCUCAUCUAGGCGACGAUCCCUCGAUGGUCUGAGAGGAUGACCAUCCACACUGGAACGGAGACACGGUCCAGACUCCUACGGGAGGCAGCAGUGGUGAAGAUUGCAAAAUGGGCGCAAGCCUGAUGCGGCCAUGCCGCGGGUGUGAAGAAGGCCUUCGGGUUGUAAAGCACUGUCAGCGGGGAGGCGUUACCCGCAGAAGAAGCACCGGCUAACUCCGUGCCAGCAGCCGCGGUAAUAC